rnacentral:rRNA from 1 species
AUACGGAGGGGGCUAGCGUUGUUCGGAAUUACUGGGCGUAAAGCGUACGUAGGCGGACUGAUCAGUUGGGGGUGAAAUCCCAGGGCUUAACCCUGGAACUGCCUUCAAUACUGUCAGUCUUGAGUUUGGGAGAGGUGAGUGGAAUUCCUAGUGUAGAGGUGAAAUUCAUAGAUAUUAGGAGGAACACCAGUGGCGAAGGCGGCUCACUGGCCCAUUACCGACGCUGAGGUACGAAAGCGUGGGGAGCAAACAGGAUUAGAAACCCUAGUAGUCC